rnacentral:rRNA from 1 species
CCUUAUGUUAGGCAGGAGCACCCGCUGAAUUUAAGCAU